CUGAGGAGAGAGUGGGAAUCUGGAACUCCGGCUGGUUGGGUUUGCCGUAAAUCCGUACCACACCGUUUUGUGACACGUCGCUUCUCCCUCCUCAACUAUUCUUCUUCCGCCUUCCUCCAGUCGCUCGGUGGGGAUUUAGGCUCCAGCUCUGGAAAAUAAUCAUGGGACUGGAUUUCAGGGCCUCCGGGCUCUCCAGGAAUGAAAAAAUGAAUGGAUAAAGAAGAUGUGGUAUAUAUCUAUAAUGGAAUGCUACUCAGCCAUGAAAAAGAACGAAAUGAUGCCAUUUGCAGCAACAUGGAUGGACCUAGAGAUUAUCAUACUAAGUGAACUCCUCCCUCUGAACUUUGUGUGAGCCGCAGGCUAGGCUGGACUUUGGUGUCUGCCUUUCAGAUGGUUGGUGCCAUAAGAGGGCCACGUGUGUGCAGGAAGAAGCAAAAGGCAGCUUAGUGAAUUGGAGACAACUGGAGGUGGUUUAUAAGGAUGGAGUGCAAAGAGCCAGUGGCACUUAGUGGCCCAAUGGGUUACAUGCAGUUAUUAAGAAACCAAAAGACAGACUGUGAAGGAGGCACUGACAUCUCACUGUAGCAGUACCAAGGAGAUGGAUACCCCUGAGUAAAUAAUCAAGGGGAGGCAUUAAUUUUGGACAUGCUGAGUUUGAGAUAGCUAUUAGAGAUCCAAAAGAAGAACUCAACCAAGCAGCUGGAUAUAUGAACGCAGAGUUCAGGAGAGAGCUCUAGGCUGGACAUGCACAUGUGCGAGUCCUUCAGGUAAGGAUGGCAUUUGACUCCAUGACCUAGACGUGAUCACCAAAAAAGGGGUAGAGACAGAAAAGCAAAGGGAUGGGAAGCCUGUGCCCUGGAAUAUUCCACUAUUCAUGAUCCAAGAGAAGAGGAGAAAGAGCAAUGGAGGCUGAGAAGGUAAGAAAAUGAGGUGGAAGGAGAGGAACUAGAAAAGCACAGUGUCCUGAAAGCUACAUGAAGAAAAUACUUCUAGAUGGAGGAAAUGACCGACAGUAAAAUGAGACCAGAUAAAAGAUCACUUGAUUAGUAAUGUGGAGUGUACUGCCCUUGACCAGAACCGCUUCAGUAGAGCUGUGAUGAUCAAUGUUUGAUUGGAGGGGGGUCCAAGAGAGCAUGGGAGGACAGAAAUUGGAGUUAGCAUGAGAUUUGCUUUAAAUAGAAGGGGAGAAUGGGGUUUCAGUUAGUAAGAUCAAGAGAAGAUUUUUUUUUCUUGAAAGCUGGGUAAAAUAAAAUAAAUUAUAAAGGGGGAAAAUAGAAGAUUUUUACUGGAAUUGGGGAAAUAUAAGCCUAUCACAUCUAUUCCAGGAAAAACAAACCACUAAUUGGUGGAAUAUUUUCAGAUCUUUGGGCACUUUGCCCCUGACCACCAUCUUUGAGGUCAGAAUCAGGAAGAAACAAUUCAAGGUUAAUGGAGAGAAAUAAAGAUGUUUUCAAAGCCGUAUGGUGACCACCUCUGGCUUCUUUUUAUAAGUUAGUCUCCUAUCCCACCAGUCCCUUUACUCUCCUGGGCUUAUCUUCCUUGGAACUUCUUUUUCCUCCCUGCCCACUUUUUCCACAUCCCAGCAUCAACCCUCUGAAAUCCAGGGUCAGUAGACCCACAGAAUUAAGACUCUUAAAGAAAACUUUAUGCGCUUCCAAUAAAAUCUCUUUCUUGAAGAAAAACUUAGUAUUGCAAAUCAGCAUGGUUUAUUUUUCGAGGAUCAGAAUGCCACAAGCAGUCAGACUUCCUGAGCCAAUAAAAGAAAAUACUGGCUCCAGUUAUCAGAGACCAAGAGGAGGGAGUAAGGGCAAAGGAGUCAUUUUUCUGAAAUUCUGAAAGUCAGGAUUUCUUCAAAUGGGAGCCCAAUCCAUGCAAAGCAGGGCUCAGGAUCAAACAAAUUGGUUGAACAUUUCAUACUAAUUCAUCUCCCUGAGGAUUUACGAUGAUGUUGCCCCGAGAAAUCCAAAAGAAAAACAUAUAAAAAAAUGUAACCUGACCCUCCCUUCCCCUUAUUAAACAGUUUAGUCUAAAGCCAUUAGACAGGGCCAAGCAAGGUAGGUGUCUGCAUGGCCUGGCCUGGGGUGCAGAGCCCAAGAGGAAGGCAUCCAUGUAGGGAGGGGGGUACCAUAGCAAUGCCUGACUGGUUACCUACUGCAGUUGAAUAAAGGCACCCAGUUUUCUCACACCCUAAAAAGGGAGGUACGAAAAAUGAACAGGAGUACACUAGAAUGAUCCAUGUGGUGGUGGAUCAGAAUUAGAGAUAUCGGUAUAAAUAUCUCUAUGUAUUAGAAUUGGAAGCUCAGAAAUAAAUGUAGAUACAAAUGUUUGUAUAUAUGUGUUAGUGACUCUGUGUGUGUACAUGCAUAUGUAUGUAUGCAUUCAAACCUACAUCAUCUUGCUUUGUCCAGUGAAGGGGCCUGGAAGCAGUGCCAUCCAAGAGCCAUGAGCACAACUAGACCAGGACCUAGGCUUCCAAAUAUUAUUCUCCAGUGAAAGUAACCAGAGCUUCUUGAGAAAUGGCUUAUUCCAAGACUCUGGCAGGGAAAGUACAGAUGAUCUUGGAAUAUCUUGCCAGAAAGCAAGGAAGUGCUCAAAGAAUAAGGGAGACCUGUCAAAAGAACAUAGAAGCCAACUUGAAGAGGUUCCCACUGGCCCAAUCUGGGACAAUUUGAACAUCAAAUAAACAAUGAGAGCAAAUGCAAUUCAAUGAGAAUCCUAGCAUCCAUGCUGAUAUAAACAAAUGAAUAACUUGAAACUUCAAUGAAGAAUGGGAUAUGUACAUGGUCCUAAAAUCUCUCCCUAUAAAACACUUAUGAAUUACAAAGUAUAAAAGUGUCACUUCGCACUGAAGAAACCAUGCAGACGUCAGUAAUCAAGUCAUCAAAGUAAACAUCCAGAUGUGACAGUCCUACCGUUCCUACCGUAAGUGAAUAACUUGAAUCUAAUUAUGAGGAAACAUCAGACAAACCCAAAUCAAGGAACAUUCUACCAAAUAACUGACCUGUAUUGAAGUGCAAGAAAGAAUGAGGAACUGUUCCAGACAGAAAGAGACUAAAAAGACACAACAUUUACAUGCAAUGCUUGAAUAUAAACUGGGUCCUUCUGCUGUAAGAACAUAAAAAGCACAAGUGGAAAAAUUUGAAUGAGACCUGAAUUUCAGAUGGUAGAAAUGAAUGCAUGUUAAUUUCCUGAUAUGUAUGGUUGUGUUGCAGUUAUGCAGGUCAAUGGCCCUGUUUGUAAGAAAUAUACACUGAAGUAUUGGGGGUCGUGGGGAUAUCAAGUUGGCAACUCACUCUCAAAUGAUUCAGGGGAAAAAAUGGCUAUGGACGGACCAGAAUUGCAACUUUUCUGUAAGUGGGAGAUAGUUUCAAAAUAAAAUUGUAUAU